rfam:Schistosoma haematobium scaffold272_36, whole genome shotgun sequence.
AUUCAGCUCAGGAGUCCCAAAUAGGACGAAAUGCGCUUCAUGGAU